rnacentral:lncRNA from 1 species
AAACUGACGAACAAAAAAAAAAAAUCAUAAACAAAAAUAAAAAAACAUACAUAUUUAUGUGAAAAAUUUUUUUAUAGAAAAAAAUUACAGUUGAGAGAGAAAGGAAUUUCACUAUCGAAAAAGAAAAUACAAAGUUCGGAGCGCAACUAUUAUCGAUCGGCAGUCUUUAGGACAACAACGAAAAAAAAACUCUUAACUAGUUUUUGAUCCGAUCCGUACAAAUGGGGGGUUCACAAAUUUAUUUUCAAUUGUCGCACUGCAAAACUGUUGGUGAGUUGAAGUUUCGAACUGAAGCCGAUUAUUAAUUUUGAGUCAUAUCUAACAAUUUGAAAUGGUAAACUUUCAAUUUUU